UACAGAGGGUGCGAGCGUUGUCCGGAAUCACUGGGCGUAAAGGGCGCGUAGGUGGCCUGAUAAGUAGGGGGUGAAAUCUCGAGGCUCAACUUCGAGGCUGCCUCCUAAACUGUCAGGCUUGAGCAGAGUAGAGGCGAGUGGAAUUCCGGGUGUAGCGGUGGAAUGCGUAGAGAUCCGGAAGAACACCGGUGGCGAAGGCGGCUCGCUGGGCAGUGGCUGACGCUAAGGCGCGACAGCGUGGGGAG
rnacentral:rRNA from 1 species